rnacentral:lncRNA from 1 species
GGUGUUGUACAGGGAAAUAGACAACUCUUUCGUGCCCACUACCCUGCAGAAUGUAGUUGAUCCAACCAGUCAGCUUACAAAUUCAACCAACCACUAAAUUUACAGCUAUCAAUGAACUACACAGCCAAUGAACAUUAUCCCAAAAGAGAUGGUUUCAAAUCAAGAAACCUCUAAAAUCCCAGCAGUAACAUCACCAUGCAGUUUAAGUACAUAAUUAGAUGUUCCCGUAAAUGUGAAUAUCUACAUUUUCACUGACCACAGGACAACAACAACAACCCAGUAUAAUCUCACUUAGUGGGUCUGGGGAGGGUAGUGUGUACGCAGANNNNNNNNNNNNNNNNNNNNNNNNNNNNNNNNNNNNNNNNNNNNNNNNNNNNNNNNNNNNNNNNNNNNNNNNNNNNNNNNNNNNNNNNNNNNNNNNNNNNNNNNNNNNNNUCCAAAUAGACCCCCGGCAUCCUUCCCUCCAAGAACUUUCCACCUUGCUCUUGGGAAGACUCGAACUCACAACCUCUCCGUUGGAAGUGGGGGUUGAUUACCAUCAGAGCAACCCCUCUUGUCUCACUGACCGCAGGACAAAGCCGAGAAAAAAAUGUAACAUUGACACAGCUAACAUUACAUCUUCACAACGCAUUAAGUUGAAGAAUUUAGGGUUCUCUUGCACUUGGUAGUUGGUACAUAAAAACGUCCAAAGGAAAGUGCUCUCCCAAAUGAAAGUCUCCAAGAAGUACCAAAAAUUAGGCAAAUCCAGAUGAUAAUCAGCACAGGGUAAUCUAUAAAGAUAAAAGACACUUGAUACUCAUAAAGCGAAGACAGUUGAUCCUUCAUGAUAUGUCAAGUGAUGCAAUGAGGUUUAACCAAUUGAAGUAAAAAUUACUCCUCCCCCUCCCAUAUGAAGCUUUUGGCUUUUCGAGAUUCAAAUUAUGUAAACUUUGACCAAUAUUUCAAUGUGCAUUUUGUCAUUAAGUUGACAUGAGAAGAAUUGCAACUUAUAGUACUUUUUGUAUAGUUUUUGGAUAUCUAAAUUUUAACUUUAAAAUAUUGAGUUAAUCUAAUCCAAUUUAGCUUCAAAGAUUAAUCAAAUUGUUGCUCGAAAAGUGAAAAGGUUUACAUAAACUAGAACGGAGGGAGUACAUUACUAUAUACCACCUAAGUAAUAAGCUACAAGAUUGUCUUUCCCUGUAUUUUCUAAUGCUUGAAACAUAAGCUAAAAUUCAAACAGCAAAAAAGAAACCAAUGUAAGACUAAGUCAAGACACAUACUAAACAACUAACAUCCAAAAACUGCUCAGAACAGUAAACCAAACUACUCAAAGUUAAGCCCCGACUCUAUUCAACAGUAUAAGCAACAGAUAUCAUGUUCAAAAAGCACAAAAAGUUUGUUGAAAACUAGUUGUACCAUUGCAGUGUUAUUGUUGGGGUUAACAGGCAAAACCCCUGAAUUGAAUCUCUGAGAAGGUAUACUGAGCUGCUCAUAUAAAGCCAUCUUGUUCCUUGGAGGUGCUCUUGGACCUCCUUUUUCUGUAUCAUUCACAUGAAGCCUAGGAAACAUUGGCCCCAUCACUUUCUCUUCACCUUUCCCUCUCUUCAUUUCCUUUUUCCUCCUAAUUACAUGAAGCCUUGGAAACAUUGGCCCCAUCACUUUCUCUUCACCUUUCCCUCUCUUCAUUUCCUUUUUCCUCCUAAUAAAUAAAUACUCCUCUCCUACUCUUCCUACAGAUUCAUCCCAAUCAAUAACUCCUUAUAAUUAAAAAAAAAUCACAACCCCAGAAUUCAAAGAUCAAAUUUUUACUAGCAUAAACAGUAGAAUCUCAUAGAUCAAACCCAAAAAGUCAGUUCUUUUACUCAAAUUUCAAGAACACAGAAAUUUGGGAAAACACAGAAACCAACCAAAAAUUUCAAGGAAGCAACAAACCCACCAAAAAAUCACAUAAACCCAACAACCCAGAAAUCAAAACUGACUUUUGACCUCGAAAUCAAGCGAUUACUCACAAAGGGAAAAAAACAUGUACUUUGAACAGUACAAAAACAGUUGGCCUAUGUUGUGGAAAAUGAUAAGAAGAGAAAUUAAAGAGAACCAAAAAACAAGAACUGAUUCGAGUAAAAAGGGAAAAGGGGGCAGAAAUUAGGGAUUCCUAAAAGGCAAAAGAAAGAUCAAAGGAAGGGACAAUUGUGAAAGGGUAGAAAAGUGCCACGAGGUGGACCCAAUAGUUAUGGAUAGACCAUAAAGAAA